rnacentral:misc_RNA from 1 species
GAAUCAUUGCAUGCACACCUGUGUUUCCAAAACUUUUGACUUGGAAUUGUAGAUUUGUUACUAUCAGAAAAAUAGAAUGUGAUUACUGGUGGAAAAAAUGUGAUUGUUGGCUAAUAUGUCUGUGGGAUGCUGUCAUGGAUCUUCUAAGUAUUGUGUAUUGCUGCUUGGCAUUUUGCUUAAUCCAUUGCAUUUCUUGUUUGCAAUUGUGUUCUUGUCACAAAAUCUUUACAUGACAUUUUGAGAUUUUUUGUCAGUCUCAAAGAAAUAGUAUGUGAUGUACUGAUGCCAAGUGCUGACACUAAUGCUUUGAUUUUAUUGGUAGUAUGUUGACU